rnacentral:rRNA from 1 species
GACUGUCUCUUACAACAAAUCAAUAAAACUGAUCUCCUAGUACAAAAGCUAGAAUACUAACAUAAGACCAGAAGACCCUGUGAAGCUUUAAUAAACCCAUUAAACCAAAUAAUGCUUACUUUCGGUUGGGGCGACCUUGGAAUAAAAAAGAACUUCCAACAUAUGACCUCCUCAUAAAACAAGGCAAACAAGCCAAUAUUAGACCCAGCACAGCUGAUAAUUGAAAUAAGUUACUCCAGGGAUAACAGCGCUAUCUUCUUUAAGAGCCCAUAUCAAAAAGAAGGUUUACGACCUCGAUGUUGGAUCAGGACAUCCCAGUAAUGCAACCGUUACUAAAGGUUCGUUUGUUCAACGAUUAA